UCUGUAUUUCGCUGCCAAUAA
rnacentral:piRNA from 1 species